AAUCGAAAUGAAAUCGUUUGUUGCGAUAUCGUCAUUUUGUAUGCCAGGCAGUGCGAUUGAAUGUUCAGUACUGAAUCCUAUCAAAUAUUAAUAUAGAUUUAAUCUUUUGUGGUAUAUUUUCUUUUGUUAGAUACGAUGAUCAAGAAAGAAGUAAUAUUUUGCUGCUUCAGAAAUGAUGUGGGAAAAAAGUAUUACAGGUUCAAGGAAAUUAACCUGAUUAGUUGGAACUAUGAAAUAGGAUGAAGCGGUAACUGCAAGAACAAUGCUGAGAAAAUUAUAAGAAGACCAGUCUAAUAUCUGAGGUAAUAGAAUUUACCAAUAUUAUUUUACUCUUUUCAUUUGUUUUCUUUAUUUUGUUCUAUUUUAUUUAUUUUAAUUAUAUUAUUUAUUCCUUUAAUUGCUGGUUUAAAUAGGUAAUUGUGGAUUAAUUUAAAUUGUAUAUUAAAUUCUCUCCAAUACGUUGAAAUUGGUAGAUCUUUAUGUGUUUGCAUACUAGAAACAGGAACACUUGUAGCAAAUAGAAGCUUUCAUUAUUUCAAUAAAUAUCUACUUUAGUUAAAAGCAGUUUAUAUUAGAAAUAUUUUUCUUAUUUAAU